UUUGGUGUUCAAGCAGAAUUUUCGGCCCUCUAUUACCCCAGAAAAACCGUGAUUUCCAGCCCUUUUUUGCAGCUCAAAAUGCUCCUCAAGUAUCAAGCUAGGUGUGGUGCAAGUUUGGUUGAAUUUGGAGAUGAUUUGGGGUUGGUUUGAGUGAAAUUUGUGAGGAGAAAUUUUGAAGCAAAGGAGUUAGAGAGAGGAGGGUGUUGGCCGGCUGUCUU
rnacentral:lncRNA from 1 species